GGUUAAGCGACUAAGCGUACACGGUGGAUGCCCUGGCAGUCAGAGGCGAUGAAGGACGUGCUAAUCUGCGAUAAGCGUCGGUAAGGUGAUAUGAACCGUUAUAACCGGCGAUUUCCGAAUGGGGAAACCCAGUGUGUUUCGACACACUAUCAUUAACUGAAUCCAUAGGUUAAUGAGGCGAACCGGGGAACUGAAACAUCUAAGUACCCCCGAGGAAAAGAAAUCAACCGAGAUUCCCCCAGUAGCGGCGAGCGAACGGGGAGCAGCCCAGAGCCUGAAUCAGUGUGUGUGUUAGUGGAAGCGUCUGGAAAGGCGCGCGAUACAGGGUGACAGCCCCGUACACAAAAAUGCACAUGCUGUGAGCUCGAUGAGUAGGGCGGGACACGUGGUAUCCUGUCUGAAUAUGGGGGACCAUCCUCCAAGGCUAAAUACUCCUGACUGACCGAUAGUGAACCAGUACCGUGAGGGAAAGGCGAAAAGAACCCCGGCGAGGGGAGUGAAAAAGAACCUGAAACCGUGUACGUACAAGCAGUGGGAGCACGCUUAGGCGUGUGACUGCGUACCUUUGUAUAAUGGGUCAGCGACUUAUAUUCUGUAGCAAGGUUAACCGAAUAGGGGAGCCGAAGGGAAACCGAGUCUUAACUGGGCGUUAAGUUGCAGGGUAUAGACCCGAAACCCGGUGAUCUAGCCAUGGGCAGGUUGAAGGUUGGGUAACACUAACUGGAGGACCGAACCGACUAAUGUUGAAAAAUUAGCGGAUGACUUGUGGCUGGGGGUGAAAGGCCAAUCAAACCGGGAGAUAGCUGGUUCUCCCCGAAAGCUAUUUAGGUAGCGCCUCGUGAAUUCAUCUCCGGGGUAGAGCACUGUUUCGGCAAGGGGGUCAUCCCGACUUACCAACCCGAUGCAAACUGCGAAUACCGGAGAAUGUUAUCACGGGAGACACACGGCGGGUGCUAACGUCCGUCGUGAAGAGGGAAACAACCCAGACCGCCAGCUAAGGUCCCAAAGUCAUGGUUAAGUGGGAAACGAUGUGGGAAGGCCCAGACAGCCAGGAUGUUGGCUUAGAAGCAGCCAUCAUUUAAAGAAAGCGUAAUAGCUCACUGGUCGAGUCGGCCUGCGCGGAAGAUGUAACGGGGCUAAACCAUGCACCGAAGCUGCGGCAGCGACGCUGAUGCGUUGUUGGGUAGGGGAGCGUUCUGUAAGCCUGCGAAGGUGUGCUGUGAGGCAUGCUGGAGGUAUCAGAAGUGCGAAUGCUGACAUAAGUAACGAUAAAGCGGGUGAAAAGCCCGCUCGCCGGAAGACCAAGGGUUCCUGUCCAACGUUAAUCGGGGCAGGGUGAGUCGACCCCUAAGGCGAGGCCGAAAGGCGUAGUCGAUGGGAAACAGGUUAAUAUUCCUGUACUUGGUGUUACUGCGAAGGGGGACGGAGAAGGCUAUGUUGGUCGGGCGACGGUUGUCCCGGUUUAAGCGUGUAGGCUGGUUUUCCAGGCAAAUCCGGAAAAUCAAGGCUGAGGCGUGAUGACGAGGCACUACGGUGCUGAAGCAACAAAUGCCCUGCUUCCAGGAAAAGCCUCUAAGCAUCAGGUAACAUCAAAUCGUACCCCAAACCGACACAGGUGGUCAGGUAGAGAAUACCAAGGCGCUUGAGAGAACUCGGGUGAAGGAACUAGGCAAAAUGGUGCCGUAACUUCGGGAGAAGGCACGCUGAUAUGUAGGUGAAGUCCCUUGCGGAUGGAGCUGAAAUCAGUCGAAGAUACCAGCUGGCUGCAACUGUUUAUUAAAAAACACAGCACUGUGCAAACACGAAAGUGGACGUAUACGGUGUGACGCCUGCCCGGUGCCGGAAGGUUAAUUGAUGGGGUUAGCGCAAGCGAAGCUCUUGAUCGAAGCCCCGGUAAACGGCGGUAGUAACUAUAACGGUCCUAAGGUAGCGAAAUUCCUUGUCGGGUAAGUUCCGACCUGCACGAAUGGCGUAAUGAUGGCAGGGCUGUCUCCACCCGAGACUCAGUGAAAUUGAACUCGCUGUGAAGAUGCAGUGUACCCGCGGCAAGACGGAAAGACCCCGUGAACCUUUACUAUAGCUUGACACUGAACAUUGAGCCUUGAUGUGUAGGAUAGGUGGGAGGCUUUGAAGUGUGGACGCCAGUCUGCAUGGAGCCGACCUUGAAAUACCACCCUUUAAUGUUUGAUGUUCUAACGUGGACCCGUGAUCCGGGUUGCGGACAGUGUCUGGUGGGUAGUUUGACUGGGGCGGUCUCCUCCUAAAGAGUAACGGAGGAGCACGAAGGUUGGCUAAUCCUGGUCGGACAUCAGGAGGUUAGUGCAAUGGCAUAAGCCAGCUUGACUGCGAGCGUGACGGCGCGAGCAGGUGCGAAAGCAGGUCAUAGUGAUCCGGUGGUUCUGAAUGGAAGGGCCAUCGCUCAACGGAUAAAAGGUACUCCGGGGAUAACAGGCUGAUACCGCCCAAGAGUUCAUAUCGACGGCGGUGUUUGGCACCUCGAUGUCGGCUCAUCACAUCCUGGGGCUGAAGUAGGUCCCAAGGGUAUGGCUGUUCGCCAUUUAAAGUGGUACGCGAGCUGGGUUUAGAACGUCGUGAGACAGUUCGGUCCCUAUCUGCCGUGGGCGCUGGAGAACUGAGGGGGCUGCUCCUAGUACGAGAGGACCGGAGUGGACGCAUCACUGGUGUUCGGGUUGUCAUGCCAAUGGCACUGCCCGGUAGCUAAAUGCGGAAGAGAUAAGUGCUGAAAGCAUCUAAGCACGAAACUUGCCCCGAGAUGAGUUCUCCCUGACUCCUUGAGAGUCCUGAAGGAACGUUGAAGACGACGACGUUGAUAGGCCGGGUGUGUAAGCGCAGCGAUGCGUUGAGCUAACCGGUACUAAUGAACCGUGAGGCUUAACCUU
rnacentral:rRNA from 1 species